rnacentral:rRNA from 2 species
UGGGGAAUAUUGGGCAAUGGGCGAAAGCCUGACGGAGCAACGCCGCGUGAGUGAAGAAGGCCUUCGGGUCGUAAAGCUCUGUCUUUAGGGACGAACAACUGUAGUGUGAAUAAUGCUACAGCCUGACGGUACCUAAGGAGGAAGCUCCGGCUAACUACGUGCCAGCAGCCGCGGUAAUACGUAGGGAGCGAGCGUUGUCCGGAAUUACUGGGCGUAAAGGGCGCGUAGGCGGGAAUUUAAGUAAGGUGUGAAAACUUCGGGCUCAACCCGGAGACUGCACUUUAAACUGGAUUUCUUGAGGGCAGGAGAGGAAAGUGGAAUUCCUAGUGUAGCGGUGAAAUGCGUAGAUAUUAGGAGGAACACCAGUGGCGAAGGCGACUUUCUGGACUGUACCUGACGCUGAGGCGCGAAAGCGUGGGGAGCGAACAGG